rnacentral:rRNA from 1 species
GGCAUGCCUAAUACAUGCAAGUCGAACGGUAACAGGUCGCUGUGAUCCCUUCGGGGUGAACUUGAUGCUGACGAGUGGCGGACGGGUGAGUAAUGCUUGGGAAUCUGCCCAGUAGUGGGGGACAACACGGGGAAACUCGAGCUAAUGCCGCAUACGCUCUACGGAGGAAAGCAGGGGAUCUUCGGACCUUGCACUAUUGGAUGAGCCUAAGUCGGAUUAGCUUGUUGGUGAGGUAAAGGCUCACCAAGGCGACGAUCCGUAGCUGGUCUGAGAGGACGAUCAGCCACACUGGGACUGAGACACGGCCCAGACUCCUACGGGAGGCAGCAGUGGGGAAUAUUGGACAAUGGGGGCAACCCUGAUCCAGCAAUGCCGCGUGUGUGAAGAAGGCCUGCGGGUUGUAAAGCACUUUCAGUAGAGAAGAAAAGCCUAGGGUUAAUACCCCUGAGUCUUGACGUUACCUACAGAAGAAGCUCCGGCUAACUCCGUG